rnacentral:rRNA from 1 species
GAUGAACGCUGGCGGCGUGCCUAAUACAUGCAAGUCGAGCGAACAGACGAGGAGCUUGCUCCUCUGACGUUAGCGGCGGACGGGUGAGUAACACGUGGAUAACCUACCUAUAAGACUGGGAUAACUUCGGGAAACCGGAGCUAAUACCGGAUAAUAUAUUGAACCGCAGGGGUGAAUAGUGAAAGACGGUUUUGCUGUCACUUAUAGAUGGAUCCGCGCCGGAUUAGGUAGUUGGUAAGGUAAAGGCUUACCAAGGGAACGAUGCGUAGCCGACCUGAGAGGGUGAUCGGCCACACUGGAACUGAGACACGGUCCAUACUCCUACGGGAGGCAGCAGUAUCGAACCUGCCGCAACGGGCGAAAGCCUGACGGAGCAACGCCGCGUGAGUGAUGAAGGUCUUCGGAGCGUAAUACCCUGUUAUUAGUUAAGAACAAAUGUGUAAGUAACUAUGCACUUCUUGACGGUACCUAAUCAGAAAGCCACGGCUAACUACGUG